GUGGGGAAUAUUGGACAAUGGGCGAAAGCCUGAUCCAGCCAUGCCGCGUGUGUGAAGAAGGUCUUCGGAUUGUAAAGCACUUUAAGUUGGGAGGAAGGGCAGUAAGUUAAUACCUUGCUGUUUUGACGUUACCGACAGAAUAAGCACCGGCUAACUUCGUGCCAGCAGCCGCGGUAAUACGAAGGGUGCAAGCGUUAAUCGGAAUUACUGGGCGUAAAGCGCGCGUAGGUGGUUUUGUAAGUUGGAGGUGAAAUCCCCGGGCUCAACCUGGGAACUGCCUCAAAAACUGCAUGACUAGAGUACGGUAGAGGGUAGUGGAAUUUCCUGUGUAGCGGUGAAAUGCGUAGAUAUAGGAAGGAACACCAGUGGCGAAGGCGACUACCUGGGCUGAUACUGACACUGAGGUGCGAAAGCGUGGGGAGCAAACAGGAUUAGAUACCCUUGUAGUCC
rnacentral:rRNA from 1 species